UAGCCUCGCAAAGAGGAUGCUGGAGGUAGAGCUCUGUUUGGACUAGGGGCCCGUCAAGGGUUACUGAAUUCAGAUAAACUGCGAAUUCCAGACAUUUAUGUGCGGGAGUCAGACUGCGAGUGAUAAGAUCCGUAGUCGAAAGGGAAACAGCCCAGAUCACCAGUUAAGGUCCCAAAAUUCAUGCUAAGUGGAAAAGGAUGUGGAGUUGCGCAGACAACUAGGACGUUGGCUCAGAAGCAGCCAUCAUUCAAAGAGUGCGUAAUAGCUCACUAGUCGAGUGACGCCGCGCCGAAAAUUUACCGGGGCUAAGCAUGAUACCGAAACUGUGGAUGUGCGUUUAUGCACGUGGUAGGAGAGCGUUCUAGCGGCGGUGAAGCAUGACCGAGAGGACAUGUGGAGCUUCUAGAAGUGAGAAUGCCGGUAUGAGUAACGAAAGACAGGUGAGAAUCCUGUCCGCCGCAAGACUAAGGUUUCCUGGGGCAGGCUCGUCCGCCCAGGGUAAGUCGGGACCUAAGGCGAGGCCGAGAGGCGUAGUCGAUGGACAACAGGUUGAAAUUCCUGUACUGCACCGAAUCGUUAUGAGCGAUGGAGGGACGCAGGAGGCUAGCAGCGCGUGGUGCUGGAUACCACGUUCAAGCGUCAAGUCUGAGAGCGAGUCAAAUGCUUGCUCUCAUAAGGACAAGGCGUGAUGAGGAGCGAAAUUAAAGUAGCGAAGGCUGCGACGUCACACUGCCGAGAAAAGCUUCUAGCCAGAGACGGUGCACCCGUACCGCAAACCGACACAGGUAGUCGAGGAGAGUAUCCUCAGGUGAGCGAGAGAACUCUCGUUAAGGAACUCGGCAAAAUGGCCCCGUAACUUCGGGAGAAGGGGCGCUGGUCGCAAGAUCAGCCGCAGUGAAAAGGCCCAAGCAACUGUUUAUCAAAAACACAGGCAUCUGCAAAAUCGUAAGAUGAAGUAUAGGUGCUGACACCUGCCCGGUGCUGGAAGGUUAAGAGGAGAGCUUAGCGCAAGCGAAGGUUUGAAUUGAAGCCCCAGUAAACGGCGGCCGUAACUAUAACGGUCCUAAGGUAGCGAAAUUCCUUGUCGGGUAAGUUCCGACCUGCACGAAAGGUGUAAUGAUUUGGGCACUGUCUCAACGAGAGACUCGGUGAAAUUAUAAUACCCGUGAAGAUGCGGGUUACCCGCGACAGGACGGAAAGACCCCAUGGAGCUUUACUGCAGUUUAAUAUUGGGUAUCUGUCAAGCAUGUACAGGAUAGGUAGGAGCCGGAGAAGAUAGGACGCCAGUCUUAUCUGAGGCGCUGUUGGGAUACUACCCUUGCUUGACGGAUGCUCUAACUCAGGUCUGUGAUCCAGGCCGAGGACAGUGUUUGACGGGCAGUUUGACUGGGGCGGUCGCCUCCUAAAGUGUAACGGAGGCGCCCAAAGGUUCCCUCAGAAUGGUUGGAAAUCAUUCGCAGAGUGUAAAGGUAAAAGGGAGCUUGACUGCGAGAGAGACAACUCGAGCAGGUACGAAAGUAGGGCUUAGUGAUCUGGUGGUACCGUAUGGAAGGGCCAUCACUCAACGGAUAAAAGCUACCCUGGGGAUAACAGGCUUAUCUCCCCCAAGAGUUCACAUCGACGGGGAGGUUUGGCACCUCGAUGUCGGCUCGUCGCAUCCUGGGGCUGAAGUCGGUCCCAAGGGUUGGGCUGUUCGCCCAUUAAAGCGGCACGCGAGCUGGGUUCAGAACGUCGUGAGACAGUUCGGUCCCUAUCCGUCGUGGGCGUAGGAAAUUUGAGAGGAGCUGUCCUUAGUACGAGAGGACCGGGAUGGACGCACCGCUGGUGUACCAGUUGUCUUGCCAAAGGCAUCGCUGGGUAGCUAUGUGCGGACGGGAUAAGCGCUGAAAGCAUCUAAGUGCGAAGCCCCCCUCAAGAUGAGAUUUCCCAUUUCUUCAAGAAAGUAAGACACCUCAGAGACGAUGAGGUAGAUAGGCCGGGAGUGGAAGAGCCGUGAGGCUUGGAGCGGACCGGUACUAAUCAGUCGAGGACUUGACCAAAA
rnacentral:rRNA from 1 species